GGCGCGGCCGCUCCGAGCGGGGCCGGCCGUGCCGGGCGGGGCGGGCUGUCCCUCGGCCCGCAGGGACACCGUGCGGCCGCAGGGCAGCCUUCUCGUCGCAGAAUCACUGCAUGAGUUGGAAAGGGCAAGGGGGCACACAUGGGUCGUCGAGCCCAGCUUUUGGCCCUACACUGUAGCACCCCCGAGAGUCACGUAUGUGUCUGAGAGCGUGAUCGAAACUCAUCUGGAGUUCUGUCAGGCUCCGUCGGCACUAGAGAGGGCACCAGGGUUUUGUCAGAGCGAGAAGCGGAACCGCUGCCGAGGAGGCGAGUGCUGCUCUUUGCCCCGCUGCUUGCUCGGCAGCCGGUGUGGGCAGCAAGGGCUGCUUGUCUCCCGCCAGCCUCCGUCUGUAGGAGCCCGCUGAGGAGAAAGCUGGACCGCGCUGAGGCGAAGGACAUCGGGUGUGAGGGACAGAUCUGGCCUUGUUCAGCCAUGUUUGCAGUGUGGGAAACUCACGCAAACAUGCUGUGGUGACGCUGGAAACUUCUUCCAAGCAGAGAAAGGAAAGAAACUCCAAAAUAAAAAUAUUCUGAUGCCUCCCAAACAUAAUUACCUAAUAUGCCACUGAUACCCAGACCACUCAAAAGAUAAGGAGAGUAGUGUACUGCAUUAGUUGUGCUCACUGCAUAACAUGUUUUAGGACGUGAAAUUCAUACUAUUUGUCAUUCUCUGAAACCUAUUUCCUGAAGUUAUAUGAGUGAUUACCUCCAUCCUGGAGGAGAAUGAAUGGAAGAAAAAGCACCUGUAAAUACAGGUUUGUGUAUGACUCCUGCUUGCAAAAGGACGCUUCUAAUUCAUCCCCUUUGGGAAAAUAUAGCUUAGGAAAAGAAAUCAUCUCUUGGCUUUGAGGGCCCCAACAGCAAACACAAGAUUGUCCCCUUCCAGACAUCCAUUUUAUACCUGUUCCUCUGACAGACAGUAAAAAGUACCUAAAAGUACCAUUUGUAAUGCAUUUCUGCAAAGAUGGCUUUUGGACCAUGUACAUAAGAAUGCAAAAGGUACAAAAGGUACUUCUCCAGACACUAAACUGUACCCUCAUUGCUGCUUCUGAUGGAAGAUGCACUUCUUUGUCGGUUCCUUCUCCAACAGCCCACUGUGUUCUUGAUCUUGAUCUUGUGCAUCACACAACAAUCCCAUAGGAAAAAAAAUUUAAAAACCCAAAUAAACAUGGAAAAAGCCCUACAAGAACAGGCAUUAGUUUAAUUGUUGAGCAAGUAAAAAGCACUCAGAGACUGCAGUGACUAAUGCAGAACAGUGACUUCUAUAAACCAGAGGGAUGGAAUCGAGUAAUGUUCCCUGUGUGUCCAAAACUGCCCUGUUUCCUUUCCCAGAAGUUUCCAGGAGCUGGAUAAUUCAUUUUCCAACAGCUCUCUGGGAUCCCCUCCAAAUGAUACAAGGAGAAGACAGACAAACCUGCUUUGUAGCCUACAGUGAUUAGGAAUAGUGUUUUGCCUGACAGAUUGUUUGCUUGUAUGAGGGAUGGGUGUGCCAGAUGUCCAGUGGUGGCAUUAAAUCUUGAUUAAAAAUUAUUGCAUUACACAGAAUACAAUAUUGCUGUAUUUCUUACCAAUAUUGGUAGCAUAUGCACAAGUAAACCACAUGUAGUGCAUGAGAUUUUCAUCUGCACCUUUCAAAUUUAAUUGUUCCAGUUUUGUGGAUUUCAAUAGUUUCUGAUAGGUUUUCUGCAAAUAAAGAUUAAAUUAUUUGCUUAUUUACUGUUUAAUAAAGCUAAUUGCUUCAUGUGAAUAGUAAGCACUGAUCUCCAUACUGCGAGUGGCUCUAUUAAAUGAUGCAAUCCUUUGAACACUGUCAUCCAUGUGGCUCAGCGCAGGUUGAUGUGGAUCUGAUAUGGAAAUGGAGCAAAUUCAUUUCUUGCCAAGUUAGUUGAGUCACAAUGGAGCAGCAGCAUGGGAUUUCCUUUUAAGGAACAUGUGCCUUUCUCUUAUUAGAGGAUAAAACCUAGCAUGCAGCCAACGGUUUUGUAGCUGGAAAAAGCAGGCAGGCAAGUAAGCACAAGCAAUUGGUUUAACUGUAGAACUUCAUAAUAAAUUUUUGAAAUGCAGUCCACUGAUGGGAAAUGGCUUGGUAUAAAUGAUAUCACAGGGAACCACAGAUUUACUGUCACUCUGUGACUUUUUUGCUUACUAAACAUUUAGGUAUACUAGUACCCCACAGUGAGGAAAAGGGUCAGUAAGUCUGAAUUUCUACUCAAAAUCUGCUAACAGAAUGAAAUAGAAUAAAAUUAAUAACAUUGCAACCUGAGGCUGAAUGGCAACCUUCAAGCAUAGACACAGACGACUCAGAUUUGCAGGAUUUGCUAGUGGCUCUGCUGUCAAAAGUCCUAGUGAUUGCAGUACAGAUGCUUCAGGAGUACCUCACUACACCAGGUCUCCAUCAAGUAACAGUUUGUUUCCUAAUCAACUUUUACUUGCAUUCUGUUUUGCUUUGUUUUCCCUUUCAUCUUCAAAGCAGGAUAUCUUCUGUGCUUAACUGUUAUCUAAAUACAAUAACUUACAAAUUUGUCUUGGGUUUGCAUGGCUAGGUUUUGGUAGUGGGGGAGCUACUGUCUUCUGUCAGAACGUGCUGGAAGCUUCCUGCAUGUCUGGUAGAGGCAGUUCAGACGUCUUCGAGACAGACAUGCUGCUGGUCAGGGCUGAGCCAAUCAGAAAUGGCUGUAACUCCUUUUGAUAACAUAUUUAAGACAGAGUUAUUGGGCAGAUGUAAUUGCAGCCAGAGAAGAGCAGAGUGAGAAUAUGUAAGAGGAACAGCUCAGCAAACAGCAAGGUAAUUGAAGAAGGGGAGGGACGUGGUGCUCGAGGAGCUCGUGGAGCUGGGAUUCUCCUGAAGCCCAUGGUGCAGGCCAUGCUGAGGCAGCUGUGCUCAUGCAGCCUGUAGUGGACCACAUGGAUGCAGAGAUCCCCCUGCAGCAAGUGAAGGAGACCCACACCAGAGCUGAUGGAUGCCCAAAAGAGGCUGUGACCCAGUGGGAGGCCUGUGCUGGAGCAGGUCCUGAAAGGGACCUACAGACUCAGAGAAAGUGCACACUGGGGCAGGUUUCCUGGUAGGACCUGUGACCCUCAUGUGAGAUCUCAUGCUGGAGCAGGCUGUGCCUGAUGGAUGGCACCCGUGGAAGAGUGACACACAUUGUAGCAGUUUAAUGGAGAACUAUUAUUUUCUGUGAGAUGAGCUCACACUGGAGAAAUUAGUAGGGAACUGUCUCCUGUGGGAGGCACUCCACCCAAGAAAAGGGAAAGACUUCUCUCUCUGAGCACGGGGAGAAAAAGCAUGAUGAACUGACCAUAACCUCCAUUCCCAUUCUACCUUCACCACUGCAGGAGGAAGUAGAGCUAGGAAGGAGGAGAAAUGGAAGAAAGUGUUUUUAAAAUUUGUUUUACUUCUCAUUAUCCUGAAGAUUUUCUUGGUAAUAAAUUCAACUAAUGACCAAAUUCAGUCUGUUUUUCCUGAGAUGAUAAUUGGUUUGUAACCUCUCACUGACUUUAUCUCAAAUUGUGACGCUUUCACUUUCUUUUCUCUCCCAUGUCCAGUUGUGAAGAAGAGCAUUACAGCAGCUUUGGUGGAUACCUGGUAUCCAGCCAGGAUCAACCCUCCACUGAAUUCAAAAGGAUACAAUUACUAAGCUACUUGGAUGCAAUACAGAAAUCAAUGUAAUGAGACUGAACCAAGUGUAUCUUGAUCCCGCAGAUUUUCCUGUCUACUUUACUUACAUCAAUCACCAGAGGCCUUAAUGAGGGUUCUUAAGUUUAGCAUGAAGAAGAGAAGGCUUCAGGGAGAAGUCUUCAGGGGGACUUUAUAGAAGCCUUCCAGUUUUAGCAAUCUUCUUGUAAAGGACUCUUCUGGGAAGACCGGAGAGAGACUUUUUACAUGGGCAUGUAGAGACAGGAUGAAAUGGCUGUAAACUUAAGAAGGACCAGAGAAGCCGCAAGAGUGCCCUGCAGGCCUGGCACUGCCUUCAACACAGCUAGACCUAUGGAGGAAACCCAGUCCUCUGAGAUUAGUCACAGGUGUCCAACCCUCCUGGUUUUGAAUGUCUUCUAUUCUCCUUCCCCUGCUGCUACGGAACUGAGUCAGCCAUAGACGGAAGGCCUUGAGCUACCGAAAAACCCAGACAGAUAUUUUUGAUUACCAGAAAUUGUGACAACAGGAGACAGUUUGUGCUUAAGAGAUGCUGCAGCAGGCAACAGAAAUAAAUAUUCUACUGAUCUGUGGAGUGGUUACCAUUCAGUAAGUGGCAGAGGAAGCAAAUUGAAAACAUUGCAAUGGGGACAGCUUUUACUUGGAACUGCAACUGUUCUGCUUACCCUCAAAACUGAAACUAACAAGACUCACAUAGAGCUGUUUGAGUUUAAUAUUUGGCUAGCAGCUGCAGUUACACCAGAAAAAGUGGAUUGUCAUGAGAUACAACUACUGAACUACUAUGCAUAGCAUCUGUGUUUCUUGAUUUGUUGUAUGAGCUAGUGCUGCAAAAAUAUGCUGGCAAGCAUAUUGCUUUUUUUUUUUUUUUAAUUCCCUAGGAAAUGCUAGUGGGCUAAAGAACAAUAUUUAAAAAAAGCUUUAAACAUUUUAAAUAUAAAAAGAUAAUUGAAACACAGGCACAGUUACAUUCAUUUUUUCAAUUGUGUGCUUCUAUAUCUUUGUGACUUUUAUUCCCCAUGUUGCUUCAUUGAAAAGCAAGAAGCUAAAAAAUGGUAUCUAGUCCUCAAAGCUCUGUCUUUUAAGCUAACCUUGUCUUUUGCUAGAGAUAGUCUUUGCAGUAGCAAUGGUAGACACCUCACAUGAUGAAAUAUCAUAAGGGUUUUUGGUUUGGUAAAUGGGAAGUUAAUGACAGAAACCAACACAGUAUUGAUAAGCAAACACAACAUUAGGUUGGCUUCCUUAACAAAGAUCCUAAAAGAAUAAAGCCUUUCAAUUUCGUAAGACUGGAGCUUUAUAUCAAAAUUUUAUCUUGUGCAAUUCAGAGACUUAGGACUUUAUAAGAAUGUGUCCAUUUAGUAGCAUAAUAUUCCACUAGUUUUAAAGCAGCCCAUACAUGUUAGUGCCAGUCAGCAAGAAAGUUUUAUUUUGAGUGUUAGACUUAGUUUCCUUUCUUGUUCCACUUUAAAAUUCAAAUUAUUCAGCCAGAAGACCAUUAUUUUUCAAGACGGCAAGCCUUCAAGGAGACCUCUGAGAUGGAAAACAUGAGGACAAUGCUUUGUUUCCACAGCAGGAACUCGUAGAGCAGAUUUAGUUAGAAGAAAUCCAGUCUGUCUCUUCACUCUUCCAUUUCAGAAACCCUGGAUGAAAACCCCUGUAGUAGGGCAGAUCUGCCCCUGUAGAGGCAGACCAGUGACCAGUGGGAAAAAGAGAGGAAGCUGUCUGGGUGAGUGGCCAGGGGGACAGCCUGCAAAGGAUUCUGUGUACAUACAGGGAAGAUCUGAGAAGUGAAAUGAUGCAGCAACUCCAAGCCCCACUACAGUAUGGUAGGGACUGUUCUGCCACCUUGUACAACAGAGCAAAGACCGUAGAUCUAACAUGAGGAGUGAGAAGAGAUCAAUGGAGAAAGGGAUCUACUGCAAUGGAAAGCUUUCUCAAGUAAAACUGGCAGAAUUUAGUCUCUAGAUGUAGAUGAAAUAAACCAAACAAAUUCUGUAAAAAAAAUCAAAAGAAAGAACCUAAAUUUAAUCAAAACAAACAAACAAACAAACAAACAAACAAACAAACCCCCACCAUUUUCAAAGCAAAACCAGCAUUUUUAAAAGAGCAAAAAUAAGCCAGGGAGAUUCAGGCUUGUAGAGCCCAAAGGAGCUUAUAGCCAUCAUAAAGUGAGGCAAAUGUUUGCACAGACCUGAUGUUCUAAGAAUCUUGAUAUUUUCUAGUCCAGCUCCCUGUGGGAUACAAAUGAGUCACUUCAUUCUUCCCUGCCACUGGCACAACAGCAGUUCUCCAAAACACAGACUUUGGAACAGAGGAUAAAAAUGCAUGAAGCAAGAAUUACAUUACAUGUGAUGCAAACAAUGUACCUUUUUGUAUUUAUAUGCCUGACUUGGAAAUAACAAUUCAAAUAGUAUAUUAAUUAGUGGCAUUGUUAUUGUCUGGGGAAGGCAUAAGGCAGAAGCAAUCAGUGAGAGACUACACUGUAAUCUGGAAAGCUGUGAAAAGAGAAGUUUCAGACAAGUUCCUUCAUAGCAGCUUUUCUUUGAAAGUGAUUCACUGAAGAAAAUUCCAUGAACAUAAAUAUGAUGAAGUUUUCACUCCAUGUGUCGGUCAGGCAAGUGACAAUUUGGUAAUUUCUUGUAUUUUCCUUAAAAUGUCUCAAUAGCUAAUCAACAAUUUAUGACAAAAAUUGCUCUUUUCUGUGCAAACUUGUGAGACUGAGAAGGGAAAAGAAGGGUAAUAGGAUUCUGCAAUAUCUUUUUCCUUGGCUGUUAGUUAUCCUCUUUUUGCUUCUAACUGUAAAUUUCAAGUUUUAAAAAAAAUCUCCUAACGAUGCUUAUUUAACUCGGCUAACUGAAACAGAUGUUCAUUCUUUAUUUCAACUUUAACCUAAAAUUAAGAAAACAUCCAGCCUCUGGUGGUACAGCUUUAGACUAGCCCCCUUCACCUUCUUGUUGUGUAAGAAACAGUUAAGAAGCCUGUGCCUUGUCUAAUAGCCUGUUCUUUUAAGAUGCUCUACAUAGCAUGGAAAAAGCCAGAGCUUUCAAAACAGCUCUUCACUUUUAAUUCUUAUAUCAUUGCUUAGAAAAGUCUAGAGAAAGAUCUUGACACUGUUUCAAGGCAAAACUUGUUGCUGGCAUUAACAGUGAAGGAUGAAGAAAUAGUAUGUUCACUAACAACCUGAUAAACACAUUUCCAAAAGAAACAGAAAUAGCAUUUCCUAGUCUGUCUUAUUUAGCCCUGAUUAACUGUGGAUGUGUCCUUUGAAAAUCUAUUAUGUAGAUUACUUAUGUCCCAAAAAUCAAGUGAAAAUAGUGGAUAAUAAACUUGUGGCAUGGAUUAUUAAGUAGAUUUUUACAGUCAAUGCUCAGAAACAUUCUGCAGUAGAAAUUCUUUCCCAGUCACAUUCUUAAUGUUUAGAUGUGUCUCUAAAUACAAAUACUUUUAUGAAUCUCUCAGAAAGCCUUACAUUUUCAGGUACUUUCUGAAUGUGUGUACACAAACAAACCAGUAUGGCUGGGUUUUUCUUCUCUUUUUUUCUCACUUCCAUGAUGUUAAAAAAUAAAAAGUAAAUAAACUCA